AUGACUUCAGAAUGUUAUUAUCCAGUUUCAGGUUUAUUUGCCAUGUGUAAUGUAAACAUUGUUUUCCCUAUUUUGGUUUAAAUCGCUCUGGAUUAGAGCCUCUGGAUUAGAGCCUCUGGAUUAGAGCCUCUGGAUUAGAGCCUCUGGAUUAGAGCCUCUGGAUUAGAGCCUCUGGAUUAGAGCCUCUGGUACAAGACACAAAUGUAAAGGAGACAGUCACUGUUACAUUUUUAUUUUAUUUUAUUUCACCUUUAUUUAACCAGGUGGCCAGUUGAGAACAAGUUCUCAUUUACAACAGCGACCUGGCCAAGAUAAAGCAUAGCAGUUCGACAGAUACAACAACACAGAGUUACACAUGGAGUAAAACAAACAUACAGUCAAUAAUACAGUAGAAACAAAUCUAUAUACAAUGUGAGCAAAUGAGGUGAGAUAAGGGAGGUAAAGGCAAAAAAAGCGCCAUGGUGGCAAAGUAAAUACAACAUAGCAAGUAAAAACACUGGAAUGGUAGUUUUGCAGUGGAAUAAAGUGCAAAGUAGAAAUAAAAAUAAUGGGGUGCAAAGGAGCAAAAUAAAUAUGCAGUGAAGGACGUGUGAGGUUUUACUGACAUUCAGUGGCACAGUGCAUUUGCAUUUAACUAAGGCAAGUGGCUUUGGGUAACAACGUUGGUUGCGUGUUUGUGAGAAGGUUGCGUGUUUGUGAGAAGGUUGCGUGUUUGUGAUGCGUGUUUGUGAGAAGGUUGCGUGUUUGUGAGAAGGUUGCGUGUUUGUGAGAAGGUUGCGUGUUUGUGAUGCGUGUUUGUGAGAAGGUUGCGUGUUUGUGAUGCGUGUUUGUGAUGCGUGUUUGUGAGAAGGUUGCGUGUUUGUGAGAAGGUUGCGUGUUUGUGAGAAGGUUGCGUGUUUGUGACGCGUGUUUGUGAGAAGGUUGCGUGUUUGUGAGAAGGUUGCGUGUUUGUGAUGCGUGUUUGUGAGAAGGUUGUGUGUUUGUGAGAAGGUUGCGUGUUUGUGACGCGUGUUUGUAAGAAGGUUGCGUGUUUGUGACGCGUGUUUGUGAGAAGGUUGCGUGUUUGUGAGAAGGUUGCGUGUUUGUGAGAAGGUUGCGUGUUUGUGACGCGUGUUUGUGAGAAGGUUGCGUGUUUGUGAGAAGGUUGCGUGUUUGUGAGAAGGUUGCGUGUUUGUGAGAAGGUUAAAUGCAGUAAACAUUCGGAGCUGGUUACCUGGACACAGAUUCAUUCUAGUCCUGGACUAAAGAGCAAAUUGAAUCAUGAAUCUCCAUGGAUAAUUAUUGUAGGUUCUGUGAGCUACUUGGUCCAGCUGUUAUCAGAGUGUUAUAUUUAGUUUGGUCGUGGUUUAGUUAGAGUUUGUGGUUCCCUGUC